rnacentral:rRNA from 1 species
AAGGCCGAUGGCGACCGGCGCAGGGUGAGUAACACGUAUCCAACCUGCCGUCUACUCUUGGACAGCCUUCUGAAAGGAAGAUUAAUACAAGAUGGCAUCAUGAGUCCGCAUGUUCACAUGAUUAAAGGUAUUCCGGUAGACGAUGGGGAUGCGUUCCAUUAGAUAGUAGGCGGGGUAACGGCCCACCUAGUCUUCGAUGGAUAGGGGUUCUGAGAGGAAGGUCCCCCACAUCGGAACUGAGACACGGUCCAAACUCCUACGGGAGGCAGCAGUGAGGAAUAUUGGUCAAUGGGCGAGAGCCUGAACCAGCCAAGUAGCGUGAAGGAUGACUGCCCUAUGGGUUGUAAACUUCUUUUAUAAAGGAAUAAAGUCGGGUAUGCAUACCCGUUUGCAUGUACUUUAUGAAUAAGGAUCGGCUAACUCCGUGCCAGCAGCCGCGGUAAUACGGAGGAUCCGAGCGUUAUCCGGAUUUAUUGGGUUUAAAGGGAGCGUAGAUGGAUGUUUAAGUCAGUUGUGAAAGUUUGCGGCUCAACCGUAAAAUUGCAGUUGAUACUGGAUAUCUUGAGUGCAGUUGAGGCAGGCGGAAUUCGUGGUGUAGCGGUGAAAUGCUUAGAUAUCACGAAGAACUCCGAUUGCGAAGGCAG